GCCCCGGUAAACGGCGGCCGUAACUAUAACGGUCCUAAGGUAGCGAAAUUCCUUGUCGGGUAAGUUCCGACCUGCACGAAUGGCGUAAUGAUGGCCAGGCUGUCUCCACCCGAGACUCAGUGAAAUUGAACUCGCUGUGAAGAUGCAGUGUACCCGCGGCAAGACGGAAAGACCCCGUGAACCUUUACUAUAGCUUGACACUGAACAUUGAGCCUUGAUGUGUAGGAUAGGUGGGAGGCUUUGAAGUGUGGACGCCAGUCUGCAUGGAGCCGACCUUGAAAUACCACCCUUUAAUGUUUGAUGUUCUAACGUUGGCCCGUAAUCCGGGUUGCGGACAGUGUCUGGUGGGUAGUUUGACUGGGGCGGUCUCCUCCUAAAGAGUAACGGAGGAGCACGAAGGUUGGCUAAUCCUGGUCGGACAUCAGGAGGUUAGUGCAAUGGCAUAAGCCAGCUUGACUGCGAGCGUGACGGCGCGAGCAGGUGCGAAAGCAGGUCAUAGUGAUCCGGUGGUUCUGAAUGGAAGGGCCAUCGCUCAACGGAUAAAAGGUACUCCGGGGAUAACAGGCUGAUACCGCCCAAGAGUUCAUAUCGACGGCGGUGUUUGGCACCUCGAUGUCGGCUCAUCACAUCCUGGGGCUGAAGUAGGUCCCAAGGGUAUGGCUGUUCGCCAUUUAAAGUGGUACGCGAGCUGGGUUUAGAACGUCGUGAGACAGUUCGGUCCCUAUCUGCCGUGGGCGCUGGAGAACUGAGGGGGGCUGCUCCUAGUACGAGAGGACCGGAGUGGACGCAUCACUGGUGUUCGGGUUGUCAUGCCAAUGGCACUGCCCGGUAGCUAAAUGCGGAAGAGAUAAGUGCUGAAAGCAUCUAAGCACGAAACUUGCCCCGAGAUGAGUUCUCCCUGACUCCUUGAGGGUCCUGAAGGAACGUU
rnacentral:rRNA from 1 species